UUAAAGGUAGUGCCAAGAAAAGCGAUGAUCAUGUUGAAAAUCAAUUCCCGGUACCCGAAACCGACACAGGUGGGCAAGUAGAGAAUACUAAGGGGCGCGAGGUAACUCUCUCCAAGGAACUCGGCAAAAUGACCCCGUAACUUAGGGAGAAGGGGUGCCACCGAGAGGUGGUCGCAGUGAAGAGGCCCAGGCGACUGUUUAGCAAAAACAUAGGUCUCUGCAAACUCGAAAGAGGAGGUAUAGGGGCUGACGCCUGCCCAGUGCCGGAAGGUUAAAGAAGUUGGUCAGUUUUAGGAUGAAGCUAGCGACUGAAGCCCCGGUGAACGGCGGCCGUAACUAUAACGGUCCUAAGGUAGCGAAAUUCCUUGUCGGGUAAGUUCCGACCCGCACGAAAGGCGUAACGAUCUGGGCGCUGUCUCGGAGAGAGGCUCGGCGAAAUAGGAUUGUCUGUGAAGGUACGGACUACCUGCAUUUGGACAGAAAGACCCUAUGAAGCUUUACUAUAGCUUGGAAUUGUGUUCGGGCUUCCUGUGCGCAGGAUAGGUGGGAGGCGUAGAAGGUAUUCUUGUGGGGAUACUGGAGCCAACGGUGAGAUACCACUCUCAGGAGGCUAGAAUUCUAACUUAAUUAAGGACAGUUUCAGGUGGGUAGUUUGACUGGGGCGGUCGCCUCCAAAAAGGUAACGGAGGCGUACAAAGGUUCCCUCAGACUGGUUGGAAAUCAGUCGAAGAGUGCAAAGGCAGAAGGGAGCUUGACUGCGAGAAGUACAGUUCGAGCAGGGUGGAAACACGGUCUUAGUGAUCCGACGGUGCUGUGUGGAAGGGCCGUCGCUCAACGGAUAAAAGUUACUCUAGGAUAACAGGCUGAUCUCCCCCAAGAGUUCACAUCGACGGGGAGGUUUGGCACCUCGAUGUCGGCUCAUCGCAACCUGGGGCGGAAGUACGUCCCAAGGGUUGGGCUGUUCGCCCAUUAAAGCGGUACGUGAGCUGGGUUCAGAACGUCGUGAGACAGUUCGGUCCAUAUCCGAUGUAGGCGUGAGAAUAUUGAGAGGAGCCUUCCUUAGUACGAGAGGACCGGGAAGGACGCACCGCUGGUGUACCUGUUAUGAUGCCAAUUGUAAACGCAGGGUAGCCAAGUGCGGAGAGGAUAACCGCUGAAAGCAUCUAAGUGGGAAGCCCACCUCAAGAUGAGUAUUCUGGUGUAAGGUCACGGGAAGACGACCCGUAAAUAGGCACGAGGUGGAAGUGCAGAGAUGUAUGAAGCCGAAGUGUACUAAUAGACCGUCGGCUUGACC
rnacentral:rRNA from 1 species